AUCGUUCCAUAGCUUAAUUGGCUAAAGCACUGACACGGUAAGUCGAAGAUGCAGUUUCGAUCCCCGCUGGAACGGUCGAUUUUUGAUAUGAUAUU